AUGGAUGAAGCUGUCUACAAAUGCUCGGCCAUCACACCAAAUGGAAGAGAUCAAAGUACAAUAAAGCAAAUAGUAGAAGACUCUGAAAUGCCCCAGGUGCAGUUUGAUAUGAUUGAUGAUGAGGACGUGGCCACAUGCGUCUCCAAGGGCUGGUACCUCAUGCCCAAUGUUACCUGGUUGGACCGGGCAGAGAGGGACCUAAGCAACCACAGUACAGUGGGGGUCCUGGAAGAGCAGAUGAAUGCCUUCUACAGGGUGUUCUCUGUCCUGAAAUACUCCGUCAAGUUAGAUGAGAAAUAUGUCUGCCACACAACAGAGACAGAUGUGAACAACCAGCCCUUCAGAAUCAUCCACAAGUACCCAAGGAGAAAGUAUUCCCGUACAUAUGACUACCAUUAAGAGAUUUGAAUAACAUCUGACCAAGGACCAAACUGUCUUUCCUUUAGCCACUGGAGCUCCUGGCUUUCUUUUGUGAGCUAUAUUCUCUUUGCCCUACGUACCUAUCUGUCAUAAACAUAACACAUUAGGAGGUAACAGGCCCAGUGUACUGGACUUUGACUAAAACUAUAGGAGAUCCCCUGUUUUAUCUCUUAUAGAUCUGUAGAUUAAUAAAGUCUUGCUUCUUAAUGCUCAAAAUUCUCCAAGCCAGGCUUCAGUAAUACGUGAACCGUGAA
rnacentral:lncRNA from 1 species